AAACCGUGGUUGGGGCAUUUGCAGAGGAGGCCUUUGAAGCGUGCAACUGCCUCAUAAAGUGGCUCGUCAUGGCUUUGCAUAAAUUGGAAUAUCUCACUCUUGAGCUU